rnacentral:lncRNA from 1 species
GCAGAAAGCAGGGAAACUAUGUAUGCAGAGUCAAGACAAUAAAUUGCCUCUUCCAGGACCUGAAAGUGGCCCCUGAAAUUGGAUGCAGCUACCAGAAAGACUAGACAACCUAGUAGCUGCAAAAUACCGAUGUCACUUGAAAGAAAUUGCAUCUUGUCCUGCUUGCUUCUUCUCCAAUUUUGGGCUUCAACCACUUGGAAACUGGUAUGAAUGUGUGUAAUGAUGACCUCUGAAUGAUCACUGCGAAAUGACUUUCCCCAGUAAUGUUAGAUUUAUCUGAUGAUUUUAAUACCCUUCAUUCUAAAAUGCUAUUAUCCUGAGUGCAUGCAGGGGACAGUAUACUUAGUCAUGAGUGAUGGAUGAAUUCAUUAUCUUCAGCCAAUUUUAAUGGGUCAUCUAGAAAGGAAAUCACCAGUCAGUUUUGGCUAUGGAGCGUUGCUACCUCACGUACCUUAUUAAGCCAAAUAUAAAAAUGGGUGGUUUUUCAUUUUCCUGUCAGACAACAAAGGUCACUGAUCACCAGCUUGAGAGACACUGAGGUUUAUUUCUCUUAGGCCUGAAAAAAUGGAUAAGCAUUGAAAUUUUUAUCUUCUUCCAUUGCAAACUGAAUAUUUCAGAACCGUGCACCCUGAAAAGAGGUAAGGUGCUUUGCAGGAAUUCAGAAUGAGGAGGUUUCUCUGCAUAGGAAUAGAAGUUGACAUUAAUGAAUUCCCUGAGUGACAUCGUUAAGGUAAUGGCACUACUGAAUUGUAGGACUUCAGCCCCAUCAUUAAGAGCUGGAAGUAAACAGUGUCGGAUUUAAGCACGUGUGCCCGUAAGUAUCACAGGUACUCCGCUACCCACAGCUACGAGAAACUGAAAAUAUUUAACACACACAAAAGUAUUGCUCUUCAUGUCUCAACCUAGCUUUUCUGGUCUUGGUUGGAAAAUCCUGACAUCUUAACUUGUAAAUUAUCAUCCUUCAUUUGACUCAUCAACUUGAACUUUUUCCUCUCAGACCUGGUUCUGAACAUCCGACAAUCAACAGCUGUUGACUAUAGUAAUGGCAAAGAGGUGUAUAUUUU